UAACCCGCAAGGGAGGCAGGUCCCCAAGGAGUGCUUGGUAACUGGGGUGAAGUCGUAACAAGGUAGCCGUAGGGGAACCUGCGGCUGGAUCACCUCCUUU
rnacentral:ncRNA from 1 species